UACGGAGGGUGCGAGCGUUAAUCGGAAUUACUGGGCGUAAAGCGCGCGUAGGCGGCUACGUAAGUUGGAGGUGAAAGCCCCGGGCUCAACCUGGGAAUUGCUUUCAAAACUGCGUGGCUAGAGUACGGUAGAGGUGAGUGGAAUUUCCUGUGUAGCGGUGAAAUGCGUAGAUAUAGGAAGGAACAUCAGUGGCGAAGGCGACUCACUGGACUGGUACUGACGCUGAGGUGCGAAAGCGUGGGGAUCAAACAGG
rnacentral:rRNA from 1 species